AUUAAAGAUAUUAUCCCCUUGUAGUGUAGUUUAAUAACUAUCUACAUAAUAACUUAAUAUAAAGUAUAAUAGUUUAUAUUUUAUAAUAUGACAUUAACAAUUUUGUUUAAUAUUUGAAAAUGUUAGUAUUAGUAAUAUUAGUAUAUGUGCUAAAGGAACUCGGCAAAAAACCACUCAACUGUUUAUCAAAAACAUAGCUAUAUGAAUUAAUAUAUAGUUAUUUCUGCUCAAUGACUUAAAUAGCCGCAGUACUCUGACUGUGCAAAGGUAGCAUAAUCAGUUGGCUUUUAAUUAGAGUCUGGUAUGAACGAAAAUAUGGGUAGUAACUGUCUUAGCACAUUUUUUCGAACUUAUUAAACACGUGCAAAUGCUUGUAAUUUAACAAUAGACGAGAAGACCCUAGAAACUUGGACAAGUUUUUGUUGGGGCGACAGAAUUACACUUAACUAAUCUUAUAAUACACGACGUGAUGUUGAAAGAAUAAGUUACUCUAGGGAUAACAGCAUAAUUUUAUUAGUUUGUGACCUCGAUGUUGGACUAGGUACUAUACCCUUAAGGCAAGGAUAUAUUAUGCUCUGUUCGAGCAAAAUUACCUACAU
rnacentral:rRNA from 1 species